rnacentral:lncRNA from 1 species
AGCCAGAGCUUGGGAUCGCUUUCUGCUAUUCAACGUCCUCCACCUCUGCCCCCCUCUCGCCCCAGCCGGUGACAGGCUGUUGCCCUGUGAUCUGCAGGUCCUGGGACGUGCACAGACAGCUAAGAUGCCAGGACAUUCCAGAAGGUGGGAAAGGCACCUGAGUAAUUUGACUCUCCUGCCUGGACCCAGCGUACAGAUGGGAUUGUGCUUCAUUGCUGGACCCAGCAUUUAGGGAUCGUCACUCCCGUGGAUGAUCAAAGCUACUCCGGGGGCUGAGGCAGGAGAAUCGCUUGAACUCGGGAAGCAGAAGUUGCAGUGAGCCAAGGUCGCACCACUGCACUCCAGCCCAGGCGACAUUGUGAGACUCCAUCUCAAAAAAAAAAAAAAGAAAAAAAGUGUACUAACAAGACCCAGCACACAGAGGAGACUUUUACCAUUGUAUGAACACCCAUCAAACAGUACACAUCAUCAUUGUGAGUUCUGAAUCUCACACAUAGAGGAAGUCAAAGGUGGAAAACUUGACUCUCAUAUUUGGAUCCAGUCCACAGGUGUGAUUUUGACGCACACUUCUGCCCAGCACCUGAGUAAUGUGAUUCUUCAGAAUUGGCCCGGCCCACAAAUAGGAUUGUGCCACACUGCUGGACCCAGUGCCUAAGUGAUGUAACUCUAUUCUUCUGCCUUGGUGCUACUCGAAAAAGACAUUGUAACAUAUCUCAGAGCCUUACACCCAGGUAAUGUGAGUCUCCUCUUCUGCCUUGCUGCUGCACACAGAAGCGGAAUAUGUACAGGAUUGUUAAUCUCAUCUUGGAUCUUCCUGCACUUGUGAUUGUGACACAUGCCUCUGUGUAGAACCUGAGUGAGUUUACUCUCCUGCCUGGAUUUAACCCAUAGAUGGAAUCGUGACAUAUCACUGUACCAGAAACUAGGUGAUGUGACUCUAUUUUCUUGCCUCUGUGUUUUUAUAUGGGGCAUCGUGACAUAUCACUGGGCCUUGCACCCAAGUGAUGGGAGUUUUCUCUCCUGCUUUGGUGCCGUCCACAAUGAAAAUUGUGAAAUAUUGCUGCCCUCCCCACUAGGUUAUGUUACUCUCCUGCCUCUGCUUUGCCCACAUGGGUCACUGUGACAUAUUGCUGGGUCUAAAACCCAGGUAAUGUCACUCUCUUGUUUGGGUUCUGCCUGCAGGAGUCAUUGUCACAUAUCUCUAUGCUCAUCACCCAGGUAAUAUGAUUCCCUUUUACUGCUUAGUUCCUUCUCACAAAACAACUUGUGACAUAUUGCUAGGCCCAAUACACCUAGCUGGUGUAACUCUUCUUUUCUUUUCUUUCCUUUUUUUUUUUUUUUUUUUGAGAUGGAGUCUCACUCUGUUGCCCAGGCUGGAGUGCAGCGGCAUGAUUUCAGCUCACUACAGCCUCUGCCUCCUAGGUUGAAGCGAUUGUCCUGACUUGGCCUCCCAAGUAGCUGGGAUUAAAGGCAUGUGCCACCACGCCCGGCUAAUUUUUGUAUUUAUAGUAGAGACAGGGUUUCGCCAUGUUGGCUAGGCUGGUUUCGAACUUCUAACCUCAGGUGAUCCUCCUGCCUCGGCCUCCCAAAGUACUGGAAUUACAGGCAUGAGCCACUGCACCUGGCCUGAUUCUUCUCUUCUUUCUAGGUUUCAACUGCAGCAGAGAUUGUAACAAACCACUGGGCCCAGCCGCAUAAUGAUGUUACUCUUUUGCCUUGGGCCUGCCCUCAGAAGGCACUGUCACAUAUUCAUGGGCCCAACGCCAAGGUGAUAUGUGUCUCCAGCCUGGACCCUGCCCACAGGGGGCAUUGUGACAUAUCUCUUGGCCCAUCAGAUGUUUGAUUGUUAUCCCCUCCCCUCUUCUACCCUGUGUUUGCCUAUAAAAGACACAGUCAUAUGUUCCUGGGCCCAGCACCUAGGUGUUGUCUUACUGGAAUGUGUCCACAUGGGGAUUGUGAUAUGUCACGUGGCCCAGUACUUAACUUGAUGUGACUCUCCUCUCAUGCCUAGGCCUUGUAGAGAAUCCCCUUCCCCUUUUGUUUUCCUUUUUUUCUUUGCAGAUCCAGGAGAUAAUCAACUAAGAGCCAGGCACCCGUUUAGGUCUAAUAAACAUUUUACAAACUGCUCUCUCUUUUAAUUCACCUAUCUGAGAGAUUCCUCUGUACAAUAAAACUUGGUCUCCACAAUCCUUUACCUUAACCUAAACCUUCCCUUUCAUUGAUCCCAGGUCUUCAGAUUCCACCACUUGUCAACCACAAAAUAUUUAAAUUUACCUGGAAGCCGCCCGCUUUGAGUUGUCCCGCCUUUCUGAACCAAACCAAUAUAUUCCUGCAAAACCGGCCAUGAUUAAAACAUCAAAAAA